rnacentral:rRNA from 1 species
CGGGUGAGUAAUGUAUAGGAACUUGCCUAAUAGUGGGGGACAACGUGUGGAAACGCACGCUAAUACCGCAUACGCUCUACGGAGGAAAGCGGAGGACCUUUCGGGGCUUCGCGCUAAUGGAUGAGCCUAAGUCGGAUUAGCUUGUUGGUGAGGUAAAGGCUCACCAAGGCGACGAUCCGUAGCUGGUCUGAGAGGACGAUCAGCCACACUGGGACUGAGACACGGCCCAG